rnacentral:rRNA from 1 species
AAUCAACGCUGGCGGCGUGCCUCAGACAUGCAAGUCGAACGAUUAAACUUUCCUUCGGGAAAGAUAUAAAGUGGCGCACGGGUGAGUAACACGUAAGUAAUCUACCUUCGAGUGGGGAAUAACGUUCGGAAACGAACGCUAAUACCGCAUAAUGCAGCGGCACCUAAUGGUGACAGUUGUUAAAGGAGCAAUUCGCUUGAAGAGGAGCUUGCGGCAGAUUAGCUAGUUGGAAGGUAACGGCUUACCAAGGCUACGAUCUGUAACCGGUCUAAGAGGACGGUCGGUCACACUGACACUGAAUAACGGGUCAGACUCCUACGGGAGGCAGCAGUCGGGAAUUUUGGGUCAAUGGGCGAAAGCCUGACCCAGCAACGCCGCGUGAAGGAUGAAGUAUUUCGGUAUAGUAACUUCGAAAGAAUGGGAAGAAUCAAUGACGGUACCAUUUAUAAGGUCCGGCUAACUACGUG